AUUUAAGAAAGAGUGAAGAGCCUAAUAUAUAAAGAAUUAAAGACCUGGAUGUCAGAAUCUUCAUUUCAAAUUGGACCAAUCCUUCUUGUGAAUGAACCCUUCACGAUUGAUAAUGGUCUAAUGACACCUACUUUGAAAAUUCGAAGAGAUAGAGUUGUGGCUCAAUACAGGGAACAAAUAGACAAUCUAUACAAGUAACUUAACUGAGUGUCAAUGCCAUCAUCAACAAUACAGAAUGAGAGAUAUUGGUGUGAAAUAAUAAAAAGUUUUUUUUUUAAUGUUAUAUAUAAGAGAUAUUGGUGUGAU